UUUUUAAUUAAUAAAACCCCUUAACUCGGAAACGUAAAAUCUAAAAUUUAUAAAAAUUGAAAGGGAGCUCAUGUCAAUAGAUAUAAACAAUUCACCAACAUUCCUUGCAAUUUUGUGAAAGGAUUUUUGAGAUAUUAUCAGAAAACUGAAAGAAAAAAACACCAUUUUUAUUGAAUAAAACCCCAUUACUCAGAAACUUAAAAUCUAAAAUUUAUAAAAAACGAUAGGGAGC
rnacentral:lncRNA from 1 species